rnacentral:lncRNA from 1 species
CAUGUACUCUGAAGAAGAAUGCACUUUCAUAAAUGAUGACUGCAUAAAUGGAUCAACAGAAUUUUUCCCGUAAGCAACUGGGCUUCUCCUCUUUCCCUCUGUGCCAUGGUUACAAAGGAAGCAGGAGACUGUGGAUCAAGUUUAGAGGAGGGAGAACAGGUGAAGAUGGUUGUAUGAUUUUUCUCCUUCGGUGAACCACAGCCCUGAGACAAACUCAAGUUUCUUUGUGAGGUAGUGCCAAGUCUAUGAAGUAAGUCACACAACAGAGGAUCCCAGGCCACACCCUUGGACUCCCGGGUAUGGAUUGUCUCACGUGAUAACUGAUACUCUCAGACUUCCAACUCCACCCUGGAUCCUCUCUGAUCCCUAGAACUACAGUCCCAUUCUAUCUAUAGUCAUACUAGCAUAAGAUAGAUAGAUAGAUAGAUAGAUAGAUAGAUAGAUAGAUAGAUAGAUAGAUAGUUUAAUGAAAAUGAUUCACAACAAAGAGAGGAAGAGAACAGAGUCAGAGACUAAAAAUCACCACUACCACGCGUGAGCGCUGACUUUCCCACGCCCUCGUAAAGACAGUAAGGAGGCCCUGUUGUGAUUCAGUAAUACCAUGGCAAUCCGAAGCUGUCUACGCAAAUGCAACAUCAGCAAAUAAUGCUCAAAUUCUUUCAGAAAGAACCCUUUAAAAACAAAUUAGCCUGAUUGGGGGGGGGGGGGUGAGAGACGACAAAACUGUCGCUUAAAAACGUCCUACAAACCAAAGACCUGGUAAUCUGUGAGUUCAAGGCCAGCCUGGAUUCUAUCAUGAGGCGAAGACCAUGGGGUUAGAUGGCAAAGUAACCAUGGGUGUGGAGCCAUCCACUGAAGCAUAACUUAUCAGCACCUACAAAGAAAAGUGACUUCCUCUGUGAGCAGCCACCAACUGUGGGUAGAUCCUCAGCGACGGGGAGGCAUUGCGAGACCAUCUCUGGUCCGAGAGCUCUCAUCAGACAAUGAAAGAUGACAGGUGCUACCAAGGAUGCGGUAGAAAGGGAACCCUCACCUACUCGGGCCUAAAUCGGUUUAUUCACAAUGGCCAGGUCACAGAAGCAACCUAUGUGCCCAU